rnacentral:rRNA from 1 species
CUUUGCUGUAGCCUGGUAUUGGGUUCGGGCUUUGACUGCGCAGGAUAGGUGGGAGACUAUGAAGCUGCCCUUGUGGGGGCAGUGGAGUCAUCAGUGAGAUACCACUCUGUCAAGGCUAGAAUUCUAACCGUCUGCCGUUAUCCGGCGACGGAACAGUAUCAGGUGGGCAGUUUGACUGGGGCGGUCGCCUCCUAAAUGGUAACGGAGGCGCGCAAAGGUUCCCUCAGGCUGGUUGGAAAUCAGCCGAAGGGUGUAAAGGCAGAAGGGAGCUUGACUGCAAGAGCAACAACUCAAGCAGGGACGAAAGUCGGCCUUAGUGAUCCGACGGCGCUGAGUGGAAGGGCCGUCGCUCAACGGAUAAAAGUUA